rnacentral:rRNA from 1 species
GAUGAACGCUGGCGGCGUGCCUAAUACAUGCAAGUCGAGCGAACAGAUAAGGAGCUUGCUCCUUUGACGUUAGCGGCGGACGGGUGAGUAACACGUGGGUAACCUACCUAUAAGACUGGAAUAACUCCGGGAAACCGGGGCUAAUGCCGGAUAACAUUUAGAACCGCAUGGUUCUAAAGUGAAAGAUGGUUUUACUAUCACUUAUAGAUGGACCCGCGCCGUAUUAGCUAGUUGGUAAGGUAACGGCUUACCAAGGCAACGAUACGUAGCCGACCUGAGAGGGGGUCGCGCCACCGUGAAAUGGACACACGGCCCAGAGUCCUAGGGGAGGCAGAGGUGGGGAAUUUUCGGAAAUGGGCGAAAGCCUGCAGGAGGAACGCCGGGUGGGUGAAGAAGGUCUUCGGGUGGGAAAACCUUUUUAUUGGGGAAAAACAAUGGUGUAAGUAACGGAGCCCGUUUGAACGUUACCGAAUAAGAAAGCCCCGCCAAACACGGG